AGACAUUUGGAUCAUUUACAGAAUAUCAAAUUAAUGUAAACAUUUGCUCUACUGUUUUACAUUUCUAUCAUCCAGUCAUUGUGGCUAAACUAUAGGCCUAAUCCUAUUGUUUAAUCUCUGUUAAAAAAAUUAUAAUUAUAUAUAUUGUUUUAUGGAAUGAACAUCUCUGUUGAACAGUAAAACAAAGUGGACACUGAAGUUGUGAAUUAAGUUUCCUACAGAAGUUAUAAACAUUUUUGCAGGUCUAUUACUUCCACGUUUAAAACUAGACCUUCUGAGUUUCUGAAAAAAUAACUUAUCUAUCGCUAAUAGACAGUAUUCACCCUAGGUUAAGGCUAAAUGUCAGAAAUGUUAAUCAUGUUACAACUCAUGUAACAUUCAACUUUCUAUUAGCGACCUCUCAAGUCCUGUUAAGGUCAUGGGACAGCAGAGGUUCCUGGGAAAAUAUUAUCAGUUCUUCUGCACAGAUCAUAACCAUCUUUAUGAUGAAACAUAUUGGUUGGGAUUGCUUCCCUAGCUGUUCCCAAGUAAUUCCUGCCAUGUUUCAAACAAACAAUGCAAUUCAAAAAGUCCAAAAGAUAAUGUCUUUCAGGACAUUUGUGCUUAAAUGAAAUUGAUAUAAAUCUAAAACAAGGUAGAAUUACAGUCAACAUACUUUCAAACUAUGUGGAAAACCAUUAACCAAUGCAGUAAAAAUAUGAAUAUGAAGAUAUGAAAACAUAUGUUAUAUGAAGAUAUGCCGACAACACUGCAGUGGCACCUCUACAAUAGAUACAAAUCUUUCAGAAGGUACAGAACCUAACAGACGCAGAGACAAUGUCUCCUUAAUGCUGAACACAUGGGGCUAAUACAAAUACAGAAAUAACGCUUCCUAACACGUGUUACGUGUGUAUGUUUUUGCCUCUGCUGUCUUGUCCUGUUCCAGGUACUGCCCUCCCCUCCGACUGGUCAGGCACACCUGCAGCACCUUAGCAAUCAGGUGGAUUGUUAUAAAGCUGCAGGGUAGAAGCAGAGGGGGGGGCAGUGGGCCAGAUAGCCGAACAGAGUCGUGUCACUGUCGGUGUGUGAAGCAGAGCUGUGUGUCGCUCUCAGGUUACCUUUAUUCCCUCAGUGGAGGGAUAGCGUUAUUUAUUGUACCCGUUUUGUUUAGCUUCCUUCAAUUUUAGGAAGUUGUUUUGUGUUUGCGUUUGAAUAAAUAGUUUAACAGUACCAAUAUUUCUGUCUCCUGCCCUUCUUUGAACGCCCGGGUCAUUAUUAAUUGUUGCUCCCCUUUUUCCGCUGGACACCACAACUGGGAACGGGGGGUCGUUUACCGGUGACUGUGGCCGUGGCCAUGGUUGAGUCCGCAGGGGAGGUCCGCUCCGAGUUUCGGGGGGUGGAAGCAACUGAGCCGUGGCAAGACAUUUUUAACAUGACCCCCGGUGUAAAACGUGACGACAGGGACGAGAAGCAGUUUACGUUGCCGCGUUUUGAACCGCUGUCUGUUGAAACGACCCCUGGCUCCAGGUGGACGCUUGGCUAAAGCUGUGUUCAGCUCGUCUCCAACUGGAGGAGGAGGAACGGGAGCUGAUGUUGUUGGAACUGAAACUGUGUGCCUGAGCGGACUGUUGUGUAUUUAAAUGAGCAGAAAGUAUCUACACUGCGGCAGGCUGCUGGUACAUCUUUCUCUGGUCCUGAGGGAGAAACUGUUUCUUCUGUCAUGAGCCUGACCAUCUUAUUGCCGACUGCAUUGCGUGGCGUUUUGAGAAUGGUAAUAAAACAGUGCCACAAUGUAAUUAACACAGUGAAACUAAUAAAACACAAGACACACACAGCAGUCUUAAAAUGAUCAGGGAUGUGGAUUUCUGUCAGUGAGAAAGAAACGAGCAACCAAUAUAUUGUAGUGUGGAGGGGCUAUGGUGUUCGUUGUUAUUUUCAUAAAAGGGUAUAUUAAAAAUGACUGGUUUAAAAUCAGGCGAGAGGGCAAUUGCUAAAACCAAGAAGACCACAGAUCCUAGAGCAGAAACUGAUGUUUAUUACAGAAUAAAAUCAGGUUAAAAACACGGGUAAAAGACUAAAAAUGGUAAGACAAAUAAUAAAAUGGCGUUGAAAUGAGGGAAGCUAAAAACUGAGGGGCGAGGGAGUCUAAUAGAGUCUUCUCUGCAAAGGCAGGGGCUGCAGCACACACUCGGGGCCCCGUCGCCGUAGAAAGCGUUGAUACUAUCCGUACUCGGUCCUGCGGCCUCUCGACGCCGCUGCACCGCACCGUCGUCGACACUCCCAGUGGGCAAUACAUGCAAUAAAACACAAAUAAAAACUACACACUAAAAUCAGAAAUAUUGUAAAUUAAAAUCACACUGGGAGCUAAAAAGACACAUAAUAAAAUCUUACUGUACCCAUGUGACAGUAGUAUAUCACUGUACAUACAUUAUCUCUUUACUGUCUGUGUACUCAUGAUGUAAAUCUCCUUCAACAGAUCCAGCAGUUAAUGAAAUCAAAAAGGUUAUCCUGUCUUUGAUUCUGGUGUUGGUGACCAUUUUCAUUUAUUUCUGUUGCAAGGCCACCAGAGGGCAGAAGUCAAGCACACAGGAGAUGACUGAGGUGGAGUAUCAUUACAUGGAUGUUGUCACAGUCGAAGAGGGCCCUGCUGAGGAGGAAGGAGUUCAGUCACAAAUUGUAUAUUUUCAUAUUGCAGAAGAGAAGUGUGCUUGAAUCAGAGAGUCAAAUAUAAAUAAUAACUAAAUUCAUCAAGUUUUAUUCAUUUCUUUGGAUAGCUCACCUACAUGCAGUUUUGUAACAUUUCAACUGUUUUCUUUAGAUGUUUAACAGAUUUGUCUACAAGAUAUAUGUGACAGUUCAUUAAAAUAUCAUACACAAUAUGUUUUUGUCCCUAACCUUAACCAAACCUCCCACAGUGGUGAACUAUCAGCAAACAGUUGUAUCUAUGCUAAUGUUGUUGUUUUAUCAUUAUUCUUUGCAGUUUUGCUCCUUUUUCACCAUAUGUUUAUUAUUAUUUUGUGUUUCCACCUGUUUUUAGGGAAGCUUGUUUGAGAUUUUAUUUUGAUUAUACUUAAUAAAACAGAUUGCAUAAACAUGGUAUUGUGCUAUAUGUUUUUGCUUGACUCUGUAAUUGUCAUAUUUUGGGGUUUUCUUUGACUAUUUCCAGUUUUAUUUUGUAGUUUUCCUCCUUUUGUAUCUUAUUCUACUUUACUUCCAGUCUUAGUUUCCCCUCACCAGGCUUUAUAUUGCCUGUGUCAAAUUCAUUCUGUUAGUUGGUUCUUGUUUGCAUGUGUUGCUUUUCCUCAUGUUCCCUCUUUGUUCUAUGGACUACUUCCUCAGUUUGGACUUAUUGGUUUUAUUUCCUUAUUUUUGUGUAAGUUUAUGUUCCACCACCCCAUUUAGCAAUAAAUCACCUGCACUGUUCCUGCUCUGCUAGUCUGCUUUUGGUCCUAUAUCCUCGUGUUCCACAGCUCAGUUUCCACACUUGUGACAGUAACUGUGUUCAGACUAUAGACUCUUUGUGUUCAGGUCCACACUCUAAAGCCAAGUCACUGUAAAGUAUACAUUUUUCUUCAGGAUGUCUCUGACUUUCUGUAUUUAUGCUUAGGGAGGGUUACACAGGGUUAUCUUAAGAGGACUGACACAUAUUUGUGUUACACUGUGUGUUACAUCUGCAUACCAGAGUUUGUGAAGCAGCACAUGCCUGUGUAAUCAGGGAUGUUGUGGUGGUAUCAUAGUACCAAAAACUUGACAGUGAUUCUAAAAAAUGUUCUGAAAAACAGUGGAAGGAUAUUUGCUCGUGACAGCUGACUGAAAGUGGAUUCAGCUGUUUGAGAACGGCCACUUUUUAUAGCUCAUAUUGAUUGGCUGGCUGAGUAUGUAUGAGGUAAAUGUCAGUGUAGCAGCUAGUUGGCUCCUGCAAGAAACUCUCGUGCUCCAUAAAUGUAAUAAACUUUUUCAGAAAUGAGAAAA